UACGUAGGGUGCAAGCGUUGUCCGGAUUUAUUGGGCGUAAAGAGCGUGUAGGCGGCCGCACAGGUCCGUUGUGAAAACUGGAGGCUUAACCUCCAGACGUCGAUGGAAACCGUGCGGCUAGAGUCCGGAAGAGGAGAAUGGAAUUCCUGGUGUAGCGGUGAAAUGCGCAGAUAUCAGGAAGAACACCCGUGGCUAAGGCGGUUCUCUAGUACGGUACUGACGCUGAGACGCGAAAGCGUGGGGAGCGAACAGG
rnacentral:rRNA from 1 species